UACAGAGGCCCCAAGCGUUACUGAGAAUCACUGGGUUUAAAGGGUGCGUAGGUGGUCCGUUAAGUUCGUUGUGAAAUCCCUGGGCUCAACCCAGGAAAUGCUUCGAAUACUGGCGGACUUGAGGCUAGUAGGGGUCACUGGAACUGACGGUGGAGCGGUGAAAUGCGUAGAUAUCAAGAGGAACACCAGUGGCGAAGGCGAGUCCCUGGACAAUACCUGACACUGAGGCACGAAAGCCAAGGGAGCAAACAGG
rnacentral:rRNA from 1 species